rnacentral:tRNA from 1 species
GAGGUUUUAUCUUAAUUAAAGAGUCUGAGUUGCAUUUAGAUGAUGUGGGAUAGUAGCCUACAAGCCUUA